GCUCUCCUGAGCUACAGAAGGAAUGGCAAGACCAGCAAGAAGAUCACCACUUCCGACUAUGGACAACUCUAAUUCUUUUGACUUGCGGGCUUCUUACCCACCAGACCAUUCCUUCUGUAGCUCAGGAGAGCACCCCAGCCCCAUCUGCUCGCAGUACCCUGUAAUGUC